rnacentral:rRNA from 1 species
GGUGCUUUAGAUCCACCUAGAGGAGCCUGUUCUAGAACCGAUAACCCCCGUUCAACCUCACCCUUCCUUGUUAGACCCGCCUAUAUACCACCGUCGUCAGCUUACCCUGUGAAGGCCCCAUAGUAAGCAUAAUUGGCACAGCCCAGAACGUCAGGUYGAGGUGUAGCGUAUGGAGGGGGAAGAAAUGGGCUACAUUCUUUAACAGAAAGAAUACGAAUGAUUGACUGAAAUGUCUUUCCGAAGGAGGAUUUAGCAGUAAGCAAGAAAUAGAGAGUCCUGCUGAAAUUGGCUCUGAAGCGCGCACACACCGCCCGUCACUCUCCCCAAGCCUAAAAAACCUAAGAUAAUUAAAACUAAACCACUGCAAAGGGGAGGCAAGUCGUAACAUGGUAAGUGUACCGGAAGGUGUACUUGGUAAAA